rnacentral:rRNA from 1 species
GACGUAGGGUGCAAGCGUUGUCCGGAAUUACUGGGCGUAAAGGGCGCGUAGGCGGCCUGUUAAGUGUAUAGUGAAAGCCCGGGGCUCAACCCCGGAACUGCUGUGCAUACUGGCAGGCUUGAGGGAUGCAGAGGCUUGUGGAAUUCCUGGUGUAGCGGUGAAAUGCAUUGAGAUCAGGAGGAACACCCAUGGCGAAGGCAGCAAGCUGGGCAUCAGCUGACGAUGAGGCGCGAAAGCGUGGGGAGCAAACAGG